GGUAAUGGAGCAGAGACUGGAGCAGAGACAAGUUGUUCCCACUGAGCUCUCCUCAGAUUACAGAUUGGGAGUGGCAAAUCAAAGGCAUUGCAGCCUCUUUCAUCACUGCCGAUUGCUGAUGCCAACCAUGUGCCAAGUGCUUAAUACGUCACCUUAAAUCUUCUCAUCCACCCUCAGAGUAGCUGCAGCAUCAACCCAGUGCCCUGACUUUCAAGACGACUAUGAAAACACCCCAACUGCUGCUAAAUUACCAGCAACAAGGAUCUGGAAUUUUCCUGACAAGAGCAGUGCCUAUCCUGAGGCAAUCGUAUUUCUCCUUGACUUCUCUCCAGUAUCAGCUUGUUGCUUGACACCCCUGCACAGCCAACUGUGUAAUGUGGGUGAGUCUAGCUGCAUUUUCUUCAGACACAAGCCUGGCUACCCAGUGCUAAGGUGACAUCAGGCCAGGCCACAACAUUCUUAUUCAAAAGAAAGAACACCGAAAUUGACCUUACCCUGACAAUAUGAUGGCUGAAGGAUUUAUGAUCACUUAUAACAUUUGAAAUUGAGGCGGAACCUGAAGAAUAAGACUCUGGUGAAAGGUCCUAUUUAUGCUUUUGAUGUCUUUCACUUGGACAUUUACCACAUGCCUAUUGGUAGGUUUGUUACAUAGGUCAGUUAAGGUGAUACAAGAAUAAAUAAAACACUAUCCCUAUCCUUUAAUAUCAUUUAUUUAUGGGGUCAAUCACAGAUUUUCAUUUUUCAAAAUCUUUGAUAAAUGUCAGAAUUAUGUUUUUUAAUAUUUUUACAGAAUUAUUACAAUAUAUGGUAGAGGAUGGAAGGCAAGGUAGUAUGAAACGGAAAAGAUAUUUUGAAUUAAGGUAUUUGGACCUGGAUUAAUAUUUUUGCUUUGGUCUUUAUUAGCUGAGUGACCUUGAGAAAGUUCUUCUACUAAAAAAGAACAAAGAUAAUAAUUACUUCAUGAAAUUGCUGUAAAAAACACAUAACAAGUAUAUCCAGACUCAACAGUGUAUGCUCAAAAAUGCAGAUCCUUUUUCCCUUACCUGCAAAUAAAGUCUUACAGUAAUACAGUGGGGGUAAAGGUUUAAACUGGUGGAUUCAAGAAGGGCUAUAGAAAGAGGUAGCAUCUUAAUAGGGGAAGGAGAGGAUCCAAGAAAUCAGAUCCAUUUUCUACAAAAAGAAAUGGGAAGACAGAUAAUUCAAGAAGAAAAGUUUACAUGAUUAAAGACCCGAAGUUAGAAAUAGUGAUGUGUCUCAAUAGUAAGUUAGGAAUUGGGGUGGACACAAUUGUUGGAAGAAGGAUGGUUUCAGCAAAGGCCCAAGUUAGGUGACAAUUUCAAGUGUUUGUGAAGAUAUAUGAACAAAAUUAUAAAGUAGUUAGGGUAUAAGAAAUAGGGAGGAGGGAAUGAAUUAACAUUUAUGGAGUGUCUUGCAUGUUCCAAGCACUGUACUACUUGCCUUAUAAACCUUUCUUCAAUAAACGCCUACAACAAUCC
rnacentral:lncRNA from 1 species